rnacentral:rRNA from 1 species
GACGAACGCUGGCGGCGUGCCUAAUACAUGCAAGUAGAACGCAGUUGCGAACGGGUGAGUAACGCGUAGGUAACUGCCUCAUAGCGGGGGAUAACUAUUGGAAACGAUAGCUAAUACCGCAUACUGUGAGAUGGACCUGCGUGGUAUUAGCUAGUUGGUGAGGUAAAGGCACACCAAGGCGAAGAUAGAUAGCCUACCUGAGAGGGUGAUCGACCAGACUGGGACUGGAACACCGCCCAGACUCCUUCGGGAUGGAGGCGUAGGUGAUCUUCGGCAAUGGAGGGAAGUCUGAGCGAGCAACGCCGGGAGAGUGAAGAAGGGUUGCGGAUCGUUAAUCUCUGUUUUGAGAGAAACGGUAACUAACCAGAAAGGGACGGCUACCUACGUGCCAGCCGCCGCGGUAAUUC